AUUGAACGCUGGCGGCAUGCCUUACACAUGCAAGUCGAACGGCAGCACGGGAGCAAUCCUGGUGGCGAGUGGCGAACGGGUGAGUAAUGUAUCGGAACGUACCAUUGAGUGGGGGAGCACGUAGCGAAAGGUACGCUAAUACCGCAUAUACCCUGAGGGGGAAAGCAGGGGAUCGCAAGACCUCGUGCUCUUUGAGCGGCCGAUAUCAGAUUAGCUCGUUGGUGAGGUAAAGGCUCACCAAGGCGACGAGCUGUAGCGGGUCUGAGAGGAUGAUCCGCCACACUGGAACUGAGACACGGUCCAGACUCCUACGGGAGGCAGCAGUGGGGAAUUUUGGACAAUGGGGGCAACCCUGAUCCAGCCAUGCCGCGUGAGUGAAGAAGGCCUUCGGGUUGUAAAGCUCUUUCGGCCGGGAGGAAAUCGCAUCAGCUAAUACCUGGUGUGGAUGACAGUACCGGAAUAAGAAGCACCGGCUAACUACGUGCCAGCCGCCGCAGUAA
rnacentral:rRNA from 1 species